rnacentral:lncRNA from 1 species
CAUCCUAAGACUACUCCCAUCCUAGCACGCUUAACUCUCUUAACCUCUUGGGCCUUACCACCACCCAAAAUGCUUAAGCCGGGUUAAGAGUUUAGCCAUAUUAUAUCUCAUAUAUAGGACUAUCUGGGGUCUCACAAUCUCCCCUCCUUUAAGCCUUGACGUCCUCGUCAGGCUCAGACUCACAAGUAUCAGGCGAUGUGAGACUCAUCUCGCUAGCCCGUCAUCCAGACCCUGGCUCAGCUGAGACUCAUCUCACACUUCCGACUGGUAAUUGGCUCUGAUACCAUCUGUGACGCCCCGACUUCCCAGGAGGUCACCCAUCCUAGGACUACUCCCGUCCUAGCACGCUUAACUCUCUUAACCUCUUGGGUCUUGCCACCACCCAAAAUGCUUAAGCCGGGUUAAGAGUUUAGCCCUAUUAUAUCUCAUAUAUAGGACUAUCUGGGGUCUCACAAUCUCCCCUCCUUUAAGCCCUGACGUCCUCGUCAGGCUCAGACUCACAAGUACCAGGCGAUGUGAGACUCAUCUCGCUAGCCCGUCAUCCGAACCCUGGCUUAGCCGAGACUCAUCUCACACUUCCGGCUGGUAAUUGGCUCUGAUACCAUCUGUGACGCCCCAACUUCCCAGGGGGGUCACCCAUCCUAGAACUACUCCCGUCCUAGCACGCUUAACUAUUGGGGUUGUUAUUGGAUUUAUAAGAGACUUAGACACUAGUAAUAAUAACUGGGCUUAAGCAUUUUGGGCCGGUGGUUGGGCCCAACGAGUUGGGGUUGUCAUUGGGUUUAUAAGAGACUUAGACACUAGUAAUAAUAACUGGGCUUAAGCAUUUUGGGCCGGUGGUUGGGCCCAACGAGUUAUUAUUGCUAGUGGGCUGGAUCGUUACAGUUGGUAUCAAAGCCGGUUCACCAGCUGGACAUGUGUUGCGAGUCUUGGCUGAGUCAGGGUCUGGAUGACAGGCUAGCGAGACGAGUCUCACAUCGCCUGGUGAUCUUGGGCUAUGUGUAUGAUUGGACUGACGAGGACGUCAAGGCCUUAACGGGGGGAGUCUGUGACGCCCCAACUUCCCAGGGAGGUCACCCAUCCUAGGACUACUCCCGUCCUAGCACGCUUAACUCUCUUAACCUCUUAGGCCUUGCCACCACCAAAAAUGUUUAAGCCGGGUUAAGAGUUUAGCCCUAUUAUAUCUCAUAUAUAA